CACGUAUUUAGCCGGGGCUUCUUGGUCAGGUACCGUCAUUCUCUUCCCUGCUGACAGAACUUUACAUACCGGAGUACUCCAUCGCUCACGCGGCGUCGCUGCAUCAGGGUUGCCCCCAUUGUGCAAUAUCCCCCACUGCUGCCUCCCGUAGGAGUCUGGGCCGUGUCUCAGUCCCAAUGUGGCCGUCCACCCUCUCAGGCCGGCUACUGAUCGUCGCCUUGGUGGCCCGUUACCCCGCCAACCAGCUAAUCAGACGCGGACCCAUCCCGCACCGCACAAGGCUUUCCGCACCGCCCCAUGUGGGGCUGUGCGCAUAUGCGGUAUUAGCAGCCGUUUCGGCUGUUGUCCCCCAGUGCGGGUAGGUUGUCCACGCGUUACUCACCCGUCGCCACUCAGUCACAAGGCUUCCUCCCCGGAGGACUUCCGCUAAGCGCUUCGUUCGACUUGCAUGUGUUAGGCACGCCGCCAGCGUUCAUCCUGAGCCAGGAUCAAACUCUACG
rnacentral:rRNA from 1 species